CCUUCAGGAUGGGGACGAACAGACGGAAACGACUGCUAAUACCGAAUAAGUUCCAAGAGCCGCAUGGCCCAUGGAAGAAAAGGUGGCCUCUACCUGUAAGCUAUCGCCUGAAGAGGGGUUUGCGUCUGAUUAGCUGGUUGGAGGGGUAACGGCCCACCAAGGCGACGAUCAGUAGCCGGUCUGAGAGGAUGAACGGCCACACUGGAACUGAGACACGGUCCAGAUCCUACGGGAGGCAGCAUG
rnacentral:rRNA from 1 species